UACGAAGGGGGCUAGCGUUGCUCGGAAUUACUGGGCGUAAAGCGCACGUAGGCGGCUUUCUAAGUCGGGGGUGAAAUCCUGGAGCUCAACUCCAGAACUGCCUUCGAUACUGGAGAGCUUGAGUCCGGGAGAGGUGAGUGGAACUGCGAGUGUAGAGGUGAAAUUCGUAGAUAUUCGCAAGAACACCAGUGGCGAAGGCGGCUCACUGGCCCGGUACUGACGCUGAGGUGCGAAAGCGUGGGGAGCAAACAGGG
rnacentral:rRNA from 1 species